UUAAAGUGCAUGUGGAAGGGGUGCAUGUCAUCAGUCAUAAUACUUCAAACUUUCCUCAUCACUUGCUGCUCAUAAAAUUCAGUUAGGCUUUGCAGUGGCACAGCGCUAAUUUUUGAGCAAGUCCUAACUAUAGUGUUGAGGUUAUUUUUAUUCUUUAUACAAAGAGAUGGAAACCAGCAUACCCUUACGAAAAAGAAGUUUAUUCAAGUGUGCUAUUAGUAUACUUCUUUUAAACUAUAAAAUAGGAAAGUAUGCUUUUAGUUUACUUUUAUGUACUUCUCAGAAAUGGGCUUUUUGUACUCCUCAGAAAUAUACUUAAAAUGACAUUUAAGUAUACUUACAAAAAUUAUAAAUAUAUUUGAGCUAUACUCCUAGAAUCCGUGUUUUCAUUAUUAUACGGUAGAGGGCGCUAGCACACAUCUUCUGCACAGAAUUUCAAAAAAAAAACACAAAUGAAGAAGAAAAAAAGAAACAACCGAUACUAACACAUGUAACACGAUCAUCUGACAUGAAACAACAUAAAAACUGUAACGUUAUGUAAUAAAAUGUCGACCGAUGAAGAGGUAAUAAUUAAGUCAAGCUUUGGGGUGUUGAUCNAUAGAGAUUCUAAAUAUGCAUUACACACGUUUGCCCUUAAACACCACAAUUCCCCCACCCACAAUUUUUUUUCUUUACACAAAGCAGCGACCCAACUAGCCAGUCAGAACAGCCAACCAUCACCACCUUCACGAAUCUAUCAGACCCUCCAACGCCCCAAUUCCCCAAUGUUGUCUUACCCCAAUGUCCCAGCAUCAUUCCCUGGAGAUGAAUUGGUGUUCUCUCCAAUGAAUUUACUCCAGAGGCCAUCUCCUGAAGUUGUUUCAGAUUCUUCAGAAACUGCCAGGUUGGCAUUAAAAGAUGUGGCUACUCAAAAACUUCUUACUGCAGUGACAGAGCUGUCCAAGGAGGUGAAGGACCUGUGGGAGGAAUUUAGGCAAUUCCACCAGUCCUGCAGGUGUGGACAAUUGGAGUCUGUGGUACAGCCACUGUCGGAGCCCUUGGAGCUGCCCUUCCACACCAUGGAGGCCCUGGACCAUGCAGAAGAGACACUGUUAAAUGGCACAAACCGACAGGCAAUGGUAGUUUUAGUUACAUCAUUAUUCUGUCAGAAAACUUCACUGAUAUGCACAACUUCCUUAAACUGCCUGACCUUUAUGACAGUAGACUCAUGGGUUAAUUUCACAUUUCACAUUUCAAUAUCUCCUAAAAACUGCUGUUUUUUCAGUAUGCCUUUAUCAAUCCAAGUUACAUUCAGACUGAAAAAAAUAAUUCUGCACAGACCAAAUUGGCUGAAAAUUAUGUUCGAUCUUGAAGCACUGUAUAGAGGGGUGUUUCACCAAAGCGGAAUCAAGAAAUCCAAGACCUUGAGCUGUUUUUACUCUGGAGUUACAUAAGGUCACUGUAGCUAGCUUUGCACUGUUGAAA
ensembl:lncRNA